rnacentral:rRNA from 1 species
UACGGAGGAUGCGAGCGUUAUCCGGAUUUAUUGGGUUUAAAGGGUGCGUAGGCGGAUUUUUAAGUCAGCGGUAAAAUGUCCGGGCUCAACCCGGGCCGGCCGUUGAAACUGGGGAUCUUGAGUGGGCGAGAAGUAUGCGGAAUGCGUAGUGUAGCGGUGAAAUGCAUAGAUAUCACGCAGAACUCCGAUUGCGAAGGCAGCAUACCGGCGCCCGACUGACGCUGAGGCACGAAAGCGUGGGGAUCGAACAGG